GACGAACCGUGCGAACGUUGUUCGGAAUCACUGGGCUUAAAGGGCGCGUAGGCGGGCUGCCAAGUCUGGGGUGAAAUCCCACGGCUCAACCGUGGAACUGCCUCGGAUACUGGCGGUCUCGAGGGAGGUAGGGGCAUGCGGAACUGUGGGUGGAGCGGUGAAAUGCGUUGAUAUCCACAGGAACUCCGGUGGCGAAAGCGGCGUGCUGGACCUCUUCUGACGCUGAGGCGCGAAAGCUAGGGGAGCAAACAGG
rnacentral:rRNA from 1 species